UAAAAAAAUCCAAGGCAUUUCAUCAAAAACUCCCAUGGUACUGGAGGAAGUCUGGAGAACAGAGUGAUUUAGUAAGCAGAAACUGCAGUACCCCUUGUCUUCCUAGGGAGAGUUCAUGAAAGGCGAUGCUAUCUGGCAGUAUCUGGAGGAAUGAGGUGUGUCUUGUCCUGGGGACAACUGCAGGGUUCUAGGCAAGGUGUAAGAAAACAAAGAUAUUGUUGUGGUAAAGAACUUUGAGGCAUGCAGACUCACCAGUAGUAUCUGCUGCACUCACAUCACCAAUGCACGAAAUAUCUGAAGAUAUUUCACUGAAGAAAUAUCUUCAUGGUAAAGCAAACCACAGGGCUCUGUGGGCACCAGGAGUCAAAAUCAACUUGACGGCACACUUUACCUUUAUCUUUAAAUGGACAAAAAGUACAUGUUCACUAUGCACACAAUGUUCACAUAAAUCACAUGCUACAAAAUAUUUAUUUGAUUUGGCCUUCGCUAAGACUAGAAUUUCUUUUCCCGAUUGUAAUUCAAAUUAACUGACUACCGUUGUAGUCAAAUCAUAUAUUCUGAUGGUAGUUGCUAAUCAAAAUACUCCAGAAACCUUUGUUUAUUUGCAGUCUCAAGAGCCCUACAGUUUGAGACUCAGUUCCUUAUUUCUAAUGUUGCCUGGGGGCAUCACAUGUCAAUGAACUGUGAAAACAGAUCAAUACAAAACACCAACACAAUGAUUUGGGUUUGGCUGAAUGCUUGUGCAGCGAUCUCCAGUAACGAAGAGAGAAGACUAAAAGUGGGCAUGACAAUAUGCUUCAAAUAGCUGAAGGGCAGUCACAUAGAAGAGGCCAAAGACAGAUUCCCUGCAGCCCCAGAGGGCAGGACUAGAUCUCAGAAGUUCAACACCUUAGUUGAACUUUAAGAAGAAACUUCUGAAUAACAAGAAGAGUUCGACAAUGGAAUCCAUUGCCUUGGGUGAAUGUGUGCCUUCUCUUGCUGGAGGUCUUCAAGCACAGACUGAGAAGCUCUUGACUCCUUAUUCAGGCUAGACUAGCUGGCCUACUUCUCUAACUCUAUGAAACUGUUAUGGGGGGAUAUACGAUAUGUGGUAACCCAAAUAAUAUUUGAGGUACAAGUGCAUAAAAAUGCCAGAGUGGAAACCAGGAAAGAACUUUAGUAUUGUUAUAAGUAGGCAUUUAGCCACGCUGUGGGCAAUAUCUGGCAUAGUCAUCCGAGGAAAGUAUGGGUGGCAGCAGAAGCACAGAGGCAUAUGGGAAGGGGGGGAAGUUUGUUUUAGCUCGUUUGACUUUGAUUUAAGCAGCCUAACCAUGUACAAGCUUGCCAGUCUCUCUUUUUUAUUCUUUUGGUUGUCUUCUGAAACUUCUUUUGAAAAUAAUUUCCUGAUGUCUGGCUGUUGGUUGAAAUUAUUUUUAGAAGCAGCAAGAGCUCUUUCUAACUAAAACUCUUUUUAAAUAAAUCACGUGGUUAUUCUAUGGAACUGUCCCUGCCCAACAAGCAACACUUAUUCUUUUUGAAAUUUAAAACGCCCUUAAAUCCAUACAUUCAGAUAUUCACAUUUUGAAAUUCAGAUGCCUUUACAUCGGUAAAAGUCACA